UACAGAGGUGGCAAGCGUUGUUCGGAAUUACUGGGCGUAAAGGGCGCGUAGGUGGCCUUUUGAGUCAGACGUGAAAUCCCCCGGCUUAACCUGGGAACUGCGUCUGAUACUGGAAGGCUUGAGUUCGGGAGAGGGAUGUGGAAUUCCAGGUGUAGCGGUGAAAUGCGUAGAUAUCUGGAGGAACACCGGUGGCGAAGGCGGCGAUCUGGGAAGAUACUGACGCUGAGGUGCGAAAGCGUGGGGAGCAAACAGG
rnacentral:rRNA from 1 species